rnacentral:misc_RNA from 1 species
AAACUGCGAUAAGUAGUGUGAAUUGCAUUUAGUGAAUCAUCGAAUCUUUGAACGCACCCGGCACUCACUGGUAUUCCGGUGAGUACGCCUGUUUCAGUAUCAUUGAAAACACACAAUCAAAACAUUUUCUUUGGUUUGAUUGGCUUUGGGUCUAUCAAAAAGUUUGGCUUGUUUCUUACAAGCCAAGCGGCCUGAAAUAUAUUGUCUGGCUAAUUGCAUCGUUGAUGAUCGCUAUUAGACUUUGGCUUUUUUAAAUGAACUGGAGGUUGAUUAACCAGUUUUAGCUUUAGUCAAAUGGUCAUUGUAAAAAAAAUCUCGAUCUUGGCUAGGUGUUUAUAGCCGAAAAUUUUUUUUUGGCUAUAACCGAAACCAAUAUAAUCACAUUUAGUUAUCGAUCUGAAAUCAGGUGGGACUACCCGCUGAACUUAAGC